UUAGUUCGAGUUUUCCUGGUUUUUCUUUCUCCUCGAAGUUCGGAAGCGCGAGUGGAAAAACGGUUGCAGCAGCAGCAGGAAAUCAAGGAUUGUCUUUGGGGACUGCAAGCGACAACAUCUAUGCAGGAAGCGAUAGAUUAUUUUCAUUUAUCAUCACGUAGUUUAUGCUAUAAUCCGCGCAAGCUCAGUGCAAUGUCGAAGCGGCACUUCCACCAGAAACAUUUUGAAUGAUUGCAUGCGGCACAUCGUGGGCUUCAAUUAUUUGUCCUAAUAAUAUCGACGAAGAUCAAAGAUUGUACGGUCAACCGGACCAGCAGGAGGAUCAAUCUGGAUGAUGACAUGGGCGAGAACAUGGAGGAAGAAGCUGCACAAAGUGAUGAUUCUGCCAUUUCUCGGGCGGUGGUUUUACACGAGGACAAACGCUACUAUCUGGAGUUUAGGAGUCCGGAAAUAUAUGUAUUCUGAGAUCUACAUCGGAAAUGAAUUGCGAAGCCGCUGGAUAAGGUACUGGGUGAGGACAUCACGAACGAAACGGUCUCCAUUGGUUGGAACAAACACUAGGGAAAAAUAGGAGAUUAUUUCCAGACAAUUCACGAUUUGGAUUCACUUGCUGUUCGGUAAUUUUGGGCUUCCGGACCAGACAACACAGGUCCCAAUAUUCCAUUCGAAGUGGAUAAUGUGGACCUGAGAAGGUCCACUCUCCGAAAAACCGAAUAGAAAUGUCAAGUUCUAAAUUCUUGAUGCCAUGAUUGCGCAGAAGCCAGUGCUUCGUGGAGGUGGCUAGAUUCUACGAACAGUGGCGUAGCCACGGGGGUGGUUUUGGGCA